GACGAACGCUGGCGGCGUGCUUAACACAUGCAAGUCGAGCGGAGCGGCGAAAGGGAGAGUAACGCGUGAGUAACUGCCCCACUCUCUGGGAACACAGCCGGAAACGGCUGCUAAUACCGGAUAGUGGGGGAUGACUCUCGGCGUAUUCGCUUGUUGGUGGGGUAGUGGACUACCAAGGCGACGACGGGUAGCCGGCCUGAGAGGGCGACCGGCCACAUUGGGCUGAGAUACGGCCCAAACUCCUACGGGAGGCAGCAGUGGGGAAUAUUGAACAAUGGGGGAAACCCUGAUGCAGCAACGCCGCGUGCGGGAUGACGGCCUUCGGGUUGUAAACCGCUUUCAGCCAUGACGCGGUAGUGGCAGAAGAAGCACCGGCUAACUACGUGCCAGCAGCCGCGGUAAUUC
rnacentral:rRNA from 1 species